rnacentral:lncRNA from 1 species
AUGACGAUUCACUUUGCGAUUCGAAAGCCAUAUAAAUCGAGAUUAAUUACAAUAUUAAUCCUAAUACACUAGCAUACUAAACAAAACAUAAUCUACAAGGUUGUGAAUAUAUAUUCCCAACCACUAGACUUCACAAAAAAUGGUUGGAGAGUCGCCCCCCGCAAGCAUGCCAAAGAUCCACGCACACCAACCCUCAAAAGAGAACUUUUGAUGUUUUAGCGGUAUUUAUUCAGUUGCACUCAUGUUACCAAGCAUACCAACUAUCAGGCCCGGUGUCAGCGCUGGGCAGAUGGCGAGGCCCAAAAGGUUUAUAGGCCCCCUGGGAGAGAGGAAGUAACAUACCGUUACGAAGUGAUGACAAUCCAUCACAAAUCCACACCACACGUCCACGCCUCACUUUUUAGAGAUUUGUCUUCUGCGCACGUAACAAUCCAUUUUGAAACAGUAUCCGUCACCCACCUUUUCACAUCUGAGUUGUCAAGACGGCCUAGAUUUAUAUAAUAUAGCUCCCAACUCCCAAAACUCAUUUCUUAGCACGAUAUAUGCCUAUUUGAUGUUAGAGUCUUUCGUGUUGGAUUAUCUUCUCGUUUCACGCUCGAGUGGCAUUUCUUGAUCAGCAUCUAUCAUAACUCUAAUUUGGUGUUUUCUCAAACUCCUAAACCUUCCUCACUAAAAACAAAAGUAUCAUCACAAUGUCUCUUUCCAUCAUUAUAGAAAAUGUUUCACCCUCAUUUGUUUUGUCCUCCCAAAUAGGUUUGGGACCAUCUAGCUUCUUAGCCAGUUGGAUUAUUAGAUGCAAGUAUUGGUGUUAUCUAGCCAGCUGGAUCAUUUGGUAGUUUUGGUGUUUCUUGCAUAUCCUUCCAUUCCAUUUGCAUAGAUCAGAUAAUAUUUUGUUAUCACACUUUUCCAUGUAUGGUCUAUUUUCUCUAUCUUGUCAUUCCCUCUUGCUAAAAUUUCCUAACUUAAC